rnacentral:rRNA from 1 species
UAAGACAGAGGCCACGAACGUUGUUCGGAAUCACUGGGCAUAAAGCGCACGUAGGCGGCUAGGUCCGUCCGAUGUGAAAGCCCCCGGCUCAACCGGGGAAUUGCAUCGGAUACAGCCUGGCUUGAGGACGGUUGGGGUGAGUGGAACUCCUGGUGGAGCGGUGAAAUGCGUAGAUAUCAGGAGGAACACCGGUGGCGAAAGCGGCUCACUGGACCGUUUCUGACGCUGAGGUGCGAAAGCUAGGGGAGCAAACGGGAUUAGAUACCCCGGUAGUCCUAGCCGUAAACGAUGGGCACUGGGUAGGGGGGAAGCCUAUGCUCUUCCCUGCCGAAGCAAAUGUAUUAAGUGCCCCGCCUGGGGAGUACGCUCGCAAGGGUA